GUCAUUACGCACGCGACGGCAACGGCGGCGACAACCCGGAAACGGGCGGAGCGUGGGCCCCGGCAAAAGAAACUAAUAUGCUGUAUGACAACAGCCGAAGAAUAAAUAUCCUUUCAAGUCCAAUCCUGCCUACGAUGUCAAAAUCAAGAAUGAGGAGGUUAUGUGCUGAAACAGAAUGACCUUCACGAGAUGCAGCCUCUGGAUCUUGGACUUCCCCAGCCUCCAGAACUCUGAGCAGAGCCCCAUAAAUGAGAAGCCACGAAGACUGAGGUUACACAGUGAUCCACAGUUGCCACAAAACUGAGCAGGCGUCAAGGUGCAUCUUGGUGUUGAAUGAAGUUGUUCCAUAUGGGCUCAUUUCUCAGAUUCCUCUUUACACCUGUUGUAGAUCACACUGAAGACUAAUUGAAGUGUCAGAAGGGGGAGCCUAUUAUGCUAAAUAUAGGCUGGAUGCUUCAGGGCGGUAUGCUUACCACUGGGUAUUUUAAAUUGGCCUUUGACACUUGUUGCCUUUUAAAAAUAUGUGUCCCACUCCUGUUUCUUUCUGUAACAGAUACUUAGCAAAAGUCACUAUCUUGAUUAUUCUUCCAGAAAAAGAGUCUACUAUCAACACACCAGGAAUGUGCAAGAUAUAGUUCUAAAACAUUUCUUUUAGAAGGAUCUAUAUACAUAUUGUUGAUUUUGAGCAUUAUUUACAUGGUAAUAAUGGAUGACAAAAAGAAUUUAAACAUUUCAAACUAUACCAGUGCAAAAAAUUAUGAUAUUCAAUGUACACAUAUAUUCCACACUAAUUUUCUUGUUAUAAUUGUUACUGGGAUCAUGCUACACUUUGCAAUGUAAGUAUUCUUAAAACUCAUGGUUUUCCACUG